GAACCAUCUCCUCCUGAGUGUAAGACACUGCAUCCUACUGCAGAUGACGUCUUGUACGUAGAUUCUACCCAUCAGCUUCCAACAUCUUGCUGUCCUUCACAAUGUUGUCAUGGCUCCCAUGUAGAUAGGCAAACCUUCCUGAUUUUCAUGCUGACCAGAUGCCCAGAAACAGGAUCGCGGAGGCAAAGGGUGUGUCUCCACACUCGGUGCUUUGAUACCAAUGACUCAAAUACUUACCAGAAAGACUGUGCCUACCUACUUUCCCACUGGCUUCAUCUGAAGGGGUCUGUCUUUAUCACAGCGAUGAU
rnacentral:lncRNA from 1 species